rnacentral:misc_RNA from 1 species
UCUUGACAGAGGUAGAGGCAGCU